rnacentral:rRNA from 2 species
UGCUGGAGGUAUCAGAAGUGCGAAUGCUGACAUAAGUAACGAUAAAGCGGGUGAAAAGCCCGCUCGCCGGAAGACCAAGGGUUCCUGUCCAACGUUAAUCGGGGCAGGGUGAGUCGACCCCUAAGGCGAGGCCGAAAGGCGUAGUCGAUGGGAAACAGGUUAAUAUUCCUGUACUUGGUGUUACUGCGAAGGGGGGACGGAGAAGGCUAUGUUAGCCGGGCGACGGUUGUCCCGGUUUAAGCAUGUAGGCUGGUUAUCCAGGCAAAUCCGGAUAAUCAAGGCUGAGGUGUGAUGACGAGGCACUACGGUGCUGAAGUAACAAAUGCCCUGCUUCCAGGAAAAGCCUCUAAGCAUCAGGUAACAUCAAAUCGUACCCCAAACCGACACAGGUGGUCAGGUAGAGAAUACCAAGGCGCUUGAGAGAACUCGGGUGAAGGAACUAGGCAAAAUGGUGCCGUAACUUCGGGAGAAGGCACGCUGGUGUGUAGGUGAAGCCCCUGCGGGUGGAGCUGAGACCAGUCGAAGAUACCAGCUGGCUGCAACUGUUUAUUAAAAACACAGCACUGUGCAAACACGAAAGUGGACGUAUACGGUGUGACGCCUGCCCGGUGCCGGAAGGUUAAUUGAUGGGGUUAUCCGUAAGGAGAAGCUCUUGAUCGAAGCCCCGGUAAACGGCGGCCGUAACUAUAACGGUCCUAAGGUAGCGAAAUUCCUUGUCGGGUAAGUUCCGACCUGCACGAAUGGCGUAAUGAUGGCCAGGCUGUCUCCACCCGAGACUCAGUGAAAUUGAACUCGCUGUGAAGAUGCAGUGUACCCGCGGCAAGACGGAAAGACCCCGUGAACCUUUACUAUAGCUUGACACUGAACAUUGAGCCUUGAUGUGUAGGAUAGGUGGGAGGCUUUGAAGCGUGGACGCCAGUCUGCGUGGAGCCAACCUUGAAAUACCACCCUUUAAUGUUUGAUGUUCUAACGUUGGCCCCUUACCGGGGUUGCGGACAGUGUCUGGUGGGUAGUUUGACUGGGGCGGUCUCCUCCCAAAGCGUAACGGAGGAGCACGAAGGUUAGCUAAUCCUGGUCGGACAUCAGGAGGUUAGUGCAAUGGCAUAAGCUAGCUUGACUGCGAGCGUGACGGCGCGAGCAGGUGCGAAAGCAGGUCAUAGUGAUCCGGUGGUUCUGAAUGGAAGGGCCAUCGCUCAACGGAUAAAAGGUACUCCGGGGAUAACAGGCUGAUACCGCCCAAGAGUUCAUAUCGACGGCGGUGUUUGGCACCUCGAUGUCGGCUCAUCACAUCCUGGGGCUGAAGUAGGUCCCAAGGGUAUGGCUGUUCGCCAUUUAAAGUGGUACGCGAGCUGGGUUUAGAACGUCGUGAGACAGUUCGGUCCCUAUCUGCCGUGGGCGCUGGAGAAUUGAGGGGGGCUGCUCCUAGUACGAGAGGACCGGAGUGGACGCAUCACUGGUGUUCGGGUUGUCAUGCCAAUGGCACUGCCCGGUAGCUAAAUGCGGAAGAGAUAAGUGCUGAAAGCAUCUAAGCACGAAACUUGCCCCGAGAUGAGUUCUCCCUGAGACUUUAAGUCUCCUGAAGGAACGUUGAAGACGACGACGUUGAUAGGCCGGGUGUGUAAGCGCAGCGAUGCGUUGAGCUAACCGGUACUAAUGAACCGUGAGGCUUAACCUU